GCACACAUUGUGCAGCUGGCCGCCUGUCUCUCAUAGAGCGCCGCGUACACGCAAACGUGCGUUCAUAACUUCCGACACCCACCGCCUCCGGCGCUCGUGCCCCCAGUUUCCGAACUUGGCGAGGCCGUGCGCACACCUCUCUCUCUCUGCCGGGUGACCCCGUUGCGAUGAGCACUUUUGAAUCCGUCCUUUUCACCAAUGGGCUCAUGGUUAAUCACAGGCACUACUACACUUACGACGCUUCCGCGAAGCGCCUGCCGUGCACCUACGUUUUUCCCACCGGAUACUGUUAUCGCCGCACGCCCAGUGCCUCAUUCUGUGGCAUCACCUGCAAGAUCAUUAUUGGCAGCGUCUUGGGCGGCCUCGCGCUUCUGUGCCUGGCUGUCCUCGUUGUGUACCACUUCCGCCGCCGCAAGACUACGCAGCAGCCAAGCACUGAGGUGGCUCACAUUUCGAGCACUAACCAGCCGGGCCCUGCACAGACUGUACCUCCUCCACAGCAGCCGAUGUUUGGCGGCAGAGACUACGCGGGCGCGGCUGGCUACGACCGCGCCUCGCUGCCGAUGCCGCCUGCUUUCCCUGGCAAUGGUGUAGCGCCCCUCGGUCACGUGUCCAACACGUACGUCCCUGCUCCGACAGGCUAUGGCUAUCAGCCAUACCCACCGCAGCUUGGCUACCCAUUGGCGACCACGCAGGCCACGGAUGGUGUUUACGUGGGAGGGGCCACGUACUAUGCACGCGCGCGGGCGGCAGAAGACACCGCGGCUGCUUUCUCCGCGUCGAGCAGCGGCUACCCCCACCCGGAGAAGGAGGCGUCGUGAUCCAUCUUCGAGCUACUGCCGACGCUUAUAGAACGCAUGUCGCCAUGGCUGCUCGUGUGUCUGUGGUUUCCGCCACUGGAUGAGUGUUGCAGUGCGGUGACUCAGUCCUCGCUUCUGGGCCUUCUCCAGCCUACUGUCGCUAAGCAACGAAUGGCAAUAUCCGAGGUCUGGCCGCAGGUGAAGGCUUCAAAGAGCUGUGCCCAUUCCUGUGCUUCUUCGCUUGAUGGCAUAUGUGUUGCUCGCCCUUUUUUGUGGCUUUUCGGUGUGUUGUUGACUCCUACGCACCCCCUUCCCUCUCUACGUUUGGGUUCGUCGCGAUUUGUUUACUUACUCCGCUGAGCGGGUUCGUUUUGUCCCGCCUCCCGCAUGUGCCUCUCCUUUCCCUCUCCUCCUUUCUGUGUGUGGGUGUUUUGCUUCCCGUUUUCGCUUUUGCUUUAUAUCUUCGGCACUGUCCCGGCCCCUGCGUCUCUCUCUCUUCCGUCUUCUCCUUCAUCCGCGCACGUGCGCACAUACACAUGGGUGCCAGUCAGCCGGCACGUGCAUCUGAGCAUAUGCUGAUCAUACUUCCUUUCAUCUGUCUUGUUCCUGUCAGCUACUCAUCUCUUUUGGUGGUCAAGUGCGAGGACUCCGCAUGUGCGCAUGCAGCAUCCGUUUUUCUCUGCCUUUCUCCCUCCGUAUCUUGAGCCCUUGCCUGUCCCCCGUGCCUCUCUCUCGUUGCGUGCGCUCUUUUGUUUUCGCGAUUCCGCCCUCUGCCAUUCCCCCACCUCGCCCGAUCCUCUACCGCACACCGCACUCCCCGUGCUUCCCCUUCACCUUCCUCGCUGAGCAG
rnacentral:misc_RNA from 1 species